GACGAACGCUGGCGGCGUGCUUAACACAUGCAAGUCGAACGGAAAGGCCCUGCUUGCAGGGUACUCGAGUGGCGAACGGGUGAGUAACACGUGGGUGAUCUGCCCUGCACUUCGGGAUAAGCCUGGGAAACUGGGUCUAAUACCGGAUAGGAGCCAUUUUUAGUGUGAUGGUUGGAAAGUUUUUUCGGUGUAGGAUGAGCUCGCGGCCUAUCAGCUUGUUGGUGGGGUAAUGGCCUACCAAGGCGGCGACGGGUAGCCGGCCUGAGAAGGUGGACGGCCACAUUGGGACUGAGAUACGGCCCAGACUCCUACGGGAGGCAGCAGUGGGGAAUAUUGAACAAUGGGCGCAAGCCUGAUGCAGCGACGCCGCGUGGGGGAUGACGGCCUUCGGGUUGUAAACUCCUUUCGCUAGGGACGAAGCUUUUUGUGACGGUACCUAGAGAAGAAGCACCGGCUAACUACGUG
rnacentral:rRNA from 1 species